ensembl:snRNA U1 U1 spliceosomal RNA
AUACUUACCUACCAGGGAAGAUAUCAUGAUCACGAAGGUGGUUCUCUCAGCGUAAGUCUCAUCCACUGCACUCAGGUCAUUCUGACUCCAGCAAUUUCCCCAAACACGGAAAACACGACAGCAAUUUCUGUUAGUGAAAGGCUACAUUUGCGGGGCG